rnacentral:misc_RNA from 1 species
AACGCACAUUGCGCCCUUUGGCAUUCCGAAGGGCAUACCUGUUCGAGCGUCAUUUCAACCCUCAAGCCUGGCUUGGUGUUGGGCGUUUUGUCCCGCUGCGUGCGCGGACUCGCCUCAAAAGAAUCGGCGUCUGCAUGUGGGCCUGAUGCGUAGUAAAAUUCGCAGACCAGGCUGGCGUGCUGGCGGCCGGAACGCAUAUAUCUUUUUGUUUGACCUCGGAUCAGGUAGGGAUACCCGCUGAACUUAA